rnacentral:lncRNA from 1 species
GGCUAGUGCAUGCUUGGGCAUCCUCCCCAAAGUAAAGGGUGUCUUACUGCACCUUGUGCCACCUAUCACUAAAAGAAAAGUAUAUUAGAAGAUCUCUUCAGUUAUUGGAGAUAUCCCACACUUGAAAAUAUUGCUCUAAUGUGUUUAUUUGGUGACAGAAAAGACAACUGAUAUGAUUUGGCUGUGUCUGCACCCAAAUCUCAUCUUAAAUUGUAUUUCCCAUAAUCCCCAAAUGUCAUGGGAGAACCCCAGUAGGAGGUAAUUGAAUCAUGGGGGCAGUUACCCCCAGGCUGUUUUAUGAUAGUGAAUGAGUUUUCAUGAGAUAUGAUGGUUUUAUAAGUAGCUUUUCCCGCUUUGCUCAGCACUUCUCUCUCCUGCUGCCAUGUGAAGAAGGAUGUGUUUGCUUCACCUUCCACCAUGAUUGCGAGUUUCCUGAGGCCUCCUCAGCCACACGGAAAUCAAUCAUUGUUGAAACUUCUGUCCUCAAGUUUAAUAUGAGAGAGUAUAAAACUAGGGUUCUACACAAUGAGCUCCCGGUCUGCAGAGCUUCUGGGUGUGAUUUGCUGAAAAAGGUUUCAGUUUAGAGAUGAAGAAGCAGCAGCCAGAGGAAGAAAGUAAAAGCAGCUAUAUAGGGAAAGGAAGGACACACUCAGGAUUCCUGCCAACCUCAAGAUCAAACCUAGGAAUCCUAUAUGUAGGAAAUUAAGGUGAACUUGAAACUAUUCAUUAUUAUAGGAAGAACCAGGCAGAAAGAGAGCUCAGUAGCAGGUAAGCCUCGUGGUAUUAGAAUUACCCUGUGGGACAGGGGACAUAACCAAGAAGCAAGGACACUGAACCCACCACCAGGACACUGCAAGCACAGAAAUUAGACAACUCAGUUCAAGUUGACUGAGAAUUUUCUGGUGAUACAAAAUUAGUUGUGGCUUUACUCAAUUUGAAGGAAUGAGAAUUAUUCAAUCCUCUAGCUUCGCACAGUAGCAAAUUAGACCAGAUUACAGCUUCAAAAAGUUACUUGGUCCAGGUAAUGUUAUACAAGCUCCUUGUAGAUGUGUUAUACAUGUUUUUAAUAUAAUAAGCUUGACCUUGGCCACUAUAGACAUAUAUAUAUUUCUGGAUACUGUUGCUUAUAAAAAGGCUUUGAGUAGCAAUUGGCCUUGUUCACCAAACUACUAAUGUAAUGACAACAUGCUCUGUUUUGAGAGGAUAUCUUGAGUUAAAAUUUUUUCAGUUUCUUCUUCAGAUAAAUGUAUGUCUGUCAUCCCAAAGAAUAAUGAGAACUACUGAAUCCAAAUUGCUUCACCUCUCAUAAAAGAAGUUUAGAAAAAAAGCCAAGUACAGUUAUGGUUAUUAACUUGUAUUAAGUGCUUUGUAAAAUAAUACAGUAAUAUUAAAAUAUAUCAAUAAUGAUGAUGACAGUUCUUAGUCUAAUACUGCUGAUUACCAGAUAGAUACGUGAGAG